GACGAACGCUGGCGGCGUGCUUAACACAUGCAAGUUGAACGGUUCAGCCCAAGCAGCAAUGUGAGGGUUGGAUAGUAGCGGACGGGUGAGUAACGCGUGAGUAACCUACCUUUGUGAGGGGGACAACAGCUGGAAACGGCUGCUAAUACCGCAUAAGGCCACGACCCCGAUUGGGGAUGUGGUAAAAGAUUUAUCGCACAAAGAUGGACUCGCGUCCCAUUAGCUAGUUGGUGAGGUAACGGCCCACCAAGGCAACGAUGGGUAGCCGACCUGAGAGGGUGAUCGGCCACACUGGAACUGAGACACGGUCCAGACUCCUACGGGUGGCAG
rnacentral:rRNA from 1 species